AUUAUGCCCAAGUAAUGUAGUAAUUAAUUAAUUAAUACUCAACCAUAUCUAAAAUCUUAAUUUGAUUACAACAAAAAGCUCUCUAUAUUAUGUAUAAUUUAGAGAUGUUGUAACUUUUAUCAAAUAUACUAGCUAGGUAAUAAUCAAAUAAUUAGAAAAUUCUAUUCACUAGUUAGAUAAAGAUCAAUAACUUAAAAUCUUAAAUUGAAGGAUCCGAUUUUUAGAACGUCGUUCGAUUUUAAUCGUUCAUUUUAUACCCGCUUGAUAGAUUUUAUUAUGAUUUAAAAAAAUUACAAAAUCUAUUUUCUAAAAGUUUCAAAUACUCUAAAUCAUAUUUAACAAAUUUGUUGAAAACUCCAUCAUCGAAAAUAACUUAUGAGUACAAAAAGCUCUAUACUCAUAAGAGUAUAAUAGCUAUNGAGAGAGAGAGAGCUAGGCUCCUAUGCUUUCAAAAAUACGGAGGCCUCCGUACUUGUAAGUAAUAAAUCUAAUGAUGGAAAACUUGAUUGCACCAAAUAGUUGGUACUAUUAGAAGAAUUUCAGUUGGACUCUUAAAUAUAUAUAUAUAUAUAGGAAAAACUUCAAAAACCAUUCGUAUGGUUUUCACAAUUUCUCACAUUUGUACCAUGUGGUUUAAUUAAAGUGUAUCAAUUUAGUGUCCUAUGGUUUCAUUUUUAUCUUUUUAUUAUUAAUUUCACAAUUUUUUCAUUAAAUCUGCAACAAAGUUAAAACUAAAGAGUAUUAAAGUGAAUAUUCAAUAAAUCUAGGUGGAGUAUGUAAAGUUUUUUAUGUAUAAUUUAACAAAAUAUUAACAGAUAAGCUGACGGAAAGAUAAAAAUGAAACCAUAUGACACUAGAUACAUUUUAAACUACAUGAUAUUAAAGUGAGAAAGUGCAAGACCACAGGGAUGGUAUCUGAAGUUUACCCAUAUAUAUAUAGAGAGAGAGAGAGAAAGAGAGAGAGAGAGAGAGCGAGCUAGGCUCCAAUGUUUUCGAAAGUUCGGAGGCCUCCAUACUUGCAAGUUAUUUUUGAUGAUGGAACAUUCGAUUCAAUGAUCGGUUCCAUUGGACAAAUCUACGCUAUUGGAACUAUCUAGAAACUAAAUUUCAUAAUUUUUUGCCUUCGUUUGCCUGGUGAACGAGUAGGCUCAAAAUGAACGGUUGAAAAUAAAAAUCUCAUAAAAAAUAGUGAUAAAAUAUUCAAAUUUCAAAUCAGGAGUAUUGUUCUUGCUCUUAAUAUUAAGUAUAAUUUUCUAUUAAAGUUUCAUAUAAUUUGAAUACUUCUACACCGUUAAACUUAAAAACGGGCCACAUCGGCCAUUAAAAUAGUCAUAUUUGAGACCCUAUGAUCGCUUGGUAAAUGAUGUCAAAAAAUUAUGAAAUUUGGUUUCUAGAUAGUUCCAAUAGCAUAAAUUAUGUCUAACGGAGCCGAUCGUCGAAUCGAAUGUCCUAUCAUCGAAAACAACUUAUAAGCACGGAGGCAUCCGUGCUAGGCUAGUAUACUAUCGGUAGCAUGGAGACCUCCGUGCUACCAAGUUGUUUCAAUGAUGUGGCUUCCAAAUCGACGAUCGGCUUCGUUAGACUUGAUCUACACUAUUGAAAGUAUUUGAAAACUAAAUUUCAUAAUUUUUCAGCAUCAUUUGGCUAGUGAUCAAAAGGUCUCAAAAUUGGCAAUUUUAAUGGUAGAUGUGAUGUGUUUAUAAAUUUAACGGUGUAAAACAAUUCAAAUUUAAUGAAAAUUUAUAGAAAUUUUUUUUUCACUAUUUAGAGUAAGAUUAGUGCCCCUGAUAUUAAAUUCAAAUCUUUUAUCAUUAUUUUUUAUGAUAUUUUUAUUUUCAGCUGUUCAUUUUUAGACGACUCGUUUGAUGAGUAAAUGAUGUCGAAAUAUUAUGAAAUUUAGUUUCCAAAUACUUUUAAUAGUAUAGAUUAAGUCUAACGGA
rnacentral:lncRNA from 1 species